rnacentral:rRNA from 1 species
GAUGAACGCUGGCGGCGUGCCUAAUACAUGCAAGUCGAGCGAAAGGACGCGAAGCUUGCUUUUCUGUUGUUAGCGGCGGACGGGUGUGUAACACGUGGAUAACCUCCCUAUAAGACUGGGAUAACUUCGGGAAACCGGCGCUAAUCCCGGAUAAUAUUUUGAACCGCAUGGUUCAAUAGUGAAAGUCGGUCUUGCUGUCACUUCUAGAUGGAUACGCGCUGCAUUGGCUAGUUGGUAAGGUAACGGCUUACCAAGGCAACGCUGCGUAGCCGACGUGACGGGGUGGUAGCCGACACUGGAAGGUGGACGCGGUCCAUACGACUGCGGUAGGGAGCAGUAGGGAAUCGUCCGCAGUAGGCGGAAGCCUGGCGGAGCAGGGCGACGUGAGAGAUGAAGAUCUUGGGUUCGUGAAGCUCUGUUAUUAGGUAAGAACAGAUGUGGAAGGAGCUGUGGAGAGCGUGACGGUACCGAGUCAGGAAGCCACGGCUAACUACGUG